GACACUUUUAGGGACCCUAGGCCGUGAUCCUGACAUGGGGAGGUUGCUGAAUUACAUGUUCUAAAAAUUAUUUAAUUUUUUGGUUAGUUAAAUUGCCGGACCGCAUUAGAUGAUAAAACUAUAGCCAAAAGGCGUUUUCUGGCAGUAAUAGCUAAUGUAAGCACAAAUAUGCACAUUUUGGUUCCCAAACAUAUGAAUCUAAAUGGUGUUCAAACAGAUCUAUGUGAUUCAAGUCUAAAUCUUGACACACAAAAUUUUGCUGCACUCUUCUGACG
rnacentral:lncRNA from 1 species